UUGCAAGGAUCACGCUACGGUUCCGCCAAGCAAACGUGUCGGCGGAUUAAAUGGGAACACGGUGAGGCGUACCCAAAAGGGACCAAAUCCGUGGCUGCCCCCGCAACUGUCAGCGGAAAGCAAUGCCCUUCAUGCCACUGACCAUCUGGUCGGGAAGGCGGACAAAGCAAAGACCCGUGAGCCAGGAGACCUGCCGUACACGACGCCUUUUC
rnacentral:ncRNA from 2 species